rnacentral:rRNA from 1 species
AACGAACGCUGGCGGCAUGCCUAACACAUGCAAGUCGAACGAGACCUUCGGGUCUAGUGGCGCACGGGUGCGUAACGCGUGGGAACCUGCCCUUAGGUUCGGAAUAACUCCCCGAAAGGGGUGCUAAUACCGGAUAAUGUCUUCGGACCAAAGAUUUAUCGCCUUUGGAUGGGCCCGCGUUGGAUUAGCUAGUUGGUAGGGUAAAAGCCUACCACGGCGACGAUCCAUAGCUGGUCUGAGAGGAUGAUCAGCCACACUGGGACUGAGACACGGCCCAGACUCCUACGGGAGGCAGCAGUGGGGAAUAUUGGACAGUGGGCGAAAGCCUGAUCCAGCAAUGCCGCGUGAGUGAUGAAGGCCUUAGGGUUGUAAAGCUCUUUUACCCGGGAUGAUAAUGACAGUACCGGGAGAAUAAGCUCCGGCUAACUCCGUG